CUGAUCUUGUCGCACGUCGCCUUCUACAUGUUGCGCAUCGACAUGGACACCGCCAUGCCAAGAAGCGCCGCAAGAAGGACGCCCGGGCCACACUUGACCCUGAGCGAGUCCGCCGGACCGGUGGUGAUCCUAGCGCUAGACCCAGCAACGCUACAGUGCCUGCGGCACCGCCGCAGCAACCGCCAGCGCCACGUCAAGACCGAUGGCGCGCCCUCGUGCCCGGACACGGCUGACUGCGCGGAAGUCAACCGGCCCUCGCGGUCGCCCCGUCGGCCAAAUCGCAUCAACAUCUACUGCGACGUUGCUGUCGACGACAUCUUUUCCUCCUCCGAUGAUGAGAGGAUCGCCUUAGUCCUCGACGACGGGGUGCAGCAGCGUCUGCCUACUCCGACUCCCGACGACGGCCCAUCGGGAACGGCCUCACCGCCGACGCUCUUGAGCCCAAGCGGCAACAGGGUGGUCCGUCGGCUCGCGCACCACCUUUCCCCAUGGCCACGCGCGCUGGGGUUGGGGUCUGCGACCGCAAGACCGUCCGACGAUGACGUCCGCGAGCGCUCGCGCUCCCUGCCUCGUCGUCUUCCCUGA
rnacentral:misc_RNA from 1 species